rnacentral:rRNA from 1 species
ACUCCUACGGGAGGCAGCAGUGGGGAAUAUUGGACAAUGGGCGCAAGCCUGAUCCAGCAAUGCCGCGUGAGUGAUGAAGGCCUUCGGGUUGUAAAGCUCUUUCGCACGCGACGAUGAUGACGGUAGCGUGAGAAGAAGCCCCGGCUAACUUCGUGCCAGCAGCCGCGGUAAUACGAAGGGGCUAGCGUUGUUCGGAAUUACUGGGCGUAAAGGGCGCGUAGGCGGUGUGUCAAGUCAGGCGUGAAAGCCCCGGCUCAACCUGGGAACAGCGCUUGAGACUGGCACGCUCGAGUUCGGGGAGAGGAUGGUGGAAUUCCCAGUGUAGAGGUGAAAUUCGUAGAUAUUGGGAAGAACACCGAUGGCGAAGGCAGCCAUCUGGACCGACACUGACGCUGAGGCGCGAAAGCGCUGGGGAGCAAACAGGAUUAGAUACCCUGGUAGGCUCUGC